GCCAAGCGCAGCGCCUCCCCUUGGUACCGCCCAUGGGUCCUUGGCUGUCCCUGCCAGGACCAGCCCCAAGACCUGCAGGAUCAAAGGUGACUCUCUGGUCAACGUUUACCAAAUGUUUUACUCUCCACGUCUGAAAUGUUAAACCACACUCCCCACCCCCACCCCUGCCAACCCUUGAACAUUCGUUUCUUUCCUGCAAAUAAGCAAAACACUCUUUUCCUUGAAAUUCUGCAUGUUCAGCGGGAUAUUUUUGGGCACCGAGGUGGAUUGUAAUGCAAAUGCCCUUGAUUUUCUUGGGACUCUUUCUCCUGUGAAUUUCAGUGAGUGAUAGGCCCCCUUGAAAUAAAUGGGCUUUUGAUAGAUGAAAAUUCCCCCUUUCCCGGGUGAAAUGUGCUUGGUGGCAAAUACUUCCAUUUGGCAGAAUUUGUUUCAUAACUCAGUGUCCUGCGAAGCUCAGCGCAGCAAAUCUGUUAGGAUGCAGAGAGGAGCCGGGGUGAGGAUGGGGAGAGGGCCCGGAGGGCUCAGGACAUGGAGAUCUGCAAACGGGGUCACCAGGCACUGGAGUGACCCGCAGACGCCAACGAGGUGCAAAUCACACAAACCUAAGAGGCAGAGCUGCUGAUGAAUGACUUGAAGAGAACAGCGUUCUAAUUCUGGAUCCUCUAUCAGCCUGCUGUGUGACCUGGAGAUAACUGCCUACCCUCUCUUGGCGUCCUCCAUUUAGCAAAUAUUUAUUGCGGUCCUACCACGUUCCCAACAUUUGACAGGAUCGAACAUAGAUCAAGAUCUCUGUCCUCCCAGGAUUUACAGUCUAAUGGAAGGACAGACAAUACAUCAACAAGCCGCCAAAUAAAUAAAUAUCUAAAUAUAAAUUAAGACUGGCACUGGGGAGGAAUUGUAGGACGUGGAGUAACAGAGUCAUGGAGGUGAGCACGGAGCAAACUACUGAGAUGAAAAGGCAAAGCUUCAGUCUGAGGGAUACAAACCGGGCAGGUGGAUAAUGACGUGGGCAAUGGCUCUGCCAUGGGUUAGAUGUGAGGAGUCCCCUAUAAGCUCACGUGUGAGACAAUGUAAAAAUGUUCAGAGGCAAAGCGAUUAGAGUAUGAGAGUCAUGACUUAAUCAGAGGAUUAAUCCACUGAGCUGGAUUAACUGGGUGGUAACCGUAGGCAGGUGGGGCGUGGCUGGAAGAAGCAGGUCACUGAGGGCGUGCCCUUGGGUUUGAUGCUUUGUCCCUGGUGAGCAGAGCUCUCUCUGUCUCUGCUUCCUGACUGUCCUGUCCUGACCUGCCCUUCGGCCACCAUGCUCUGCCUCACCUCCAUCCCAGAGAAAUGGAGUCAGCUGACUGUGGACUGAACCCCUGAAACUGUGAGUCAAAAUAAACCUUUUCUCCUUUCA